GCAGCGCACCUUUGGGAUCUGGGCCAGCAGCUGGCAGUCCUCCACUGGGGGGGGAAAACAACACAUCAUGACUCCCAAACGCAUGCUUCUGCGUGCUCAUGAGCAUGUACAGAACGGGAGGCCAGACGGUUAGAACUCUGGAUGGGAAUCAACAGCAGAACUACCGAUGACCCCCCCCCUUCCAUUGAGGUGUUCUCCCUACCAUGACAAAGGUG